rnacentral:tRNA from 1 species
GCAUGAGCGGCGAAGUUGGAGAGACGCGACGGUCUGUAAAACCGUUCCCUCUGGGUGAGUCAGUUCGAAUCUGACCUCAUGCA